rnacentral:rRNA from 1 species
CAUUAAAGAGUUCUAUAACUCCCAAACCCAUGUGAACAUACCUAACGUUGCCUCGGCAGGUCGCACCUACCUUGUAGCACCCUACCCUGUAGGGCCUACCCGGGAAGUGCGGGUAAGCCUGCCGGCGGCCCACCAAACUCUGUUUGAUAUUGAAUUCUGAACCUAUAACUAAAUAAGUUAAAACUUUCAACAACGGAUCUCUUGGUUCUGGCAUCGAUGAAGAACGCAGCGAAAUGCGAUAAGUAAUGUGAAUUGCAGAAUUCAGUGAAUCAUCGAAUCUUUGAACGCAUAUUGCGCCCAUUAGUAUUCUAGUGGGCAGGACCGUUCGAGCGUCAUUUCAACCCUUAAGCCUUCGUUGCUUAGUGUUGGGAGCCUACGGCAACGUAGCUCCUCAAAGUUAGUGGCGGAGUUGGUUCACACUCUAGACGUAGUAAUUUUUUAUCUCGCCUAUUAGUUGGACUAAUCCCCUGCCGUAAAACCCCCAAUUUAUCAAGGUUGACCUCGAAUCGGUUCAGACAAACUCGCUAAAUUGAAGCAUCUUAGUCAGCGAAGGAAAAGAAACCAACAGGGAUUGCCCUAGUAACGGCGAGUGAAGCGGCAACAGCUCAAAUUUGAAAUCUGGCCCUCGGGUC